UGGUGGAGUGAUUUGUCUGGUUAAUUCCGUUAACGAACGAGACCUUAACCUAUUAAAUAGUUGUCUGAAUCGCUCUUCAAACAGCAGUGAGACGGCCGGUGAUUCAGUCGGCCUGCUGGGUGUAACAGCCCAGUGGGAAGGCUGGACACCGGCUGAGGAUCUGUUGAGGGAUUCAGCUUUGGCAACUUCUUAGAGGGACUAUCAGCGUUUAGCUGGUGGAAGUUUGAGGCAA
rnacentral:rRNA from 1 species